AGAGUUUGAUCCUGGCUCAGAACGAACGCGGGCGGCGUGGUUAAGACAUGCAGUCGAACGGAAUGUUCUGGUAGCAUAUCGGGGCAUUCAGUGGCAACGGGUGCGUAACACGUGGGUAACAUGCCGGGAAGCGAGGGAUAGCCCAGGGAAACUUGGAUUAAUAUCUCAUGUGGUCGAGAGACUAAAGGCGCAAGCCGCUUCCUGAUUGGCCCGCGGCCUAUCAGCUAGUUGGUGAGGUAACGGCUCACCAAGGCUACGACGGGUAGCUGGUCUUAGAGGACGACCAGCCACACUGGAACUGAGACACGGUCCAGACACCUACGGGUGGCAGCAGUCGAGAAUCUUUCACAAUGGGGGCAACCCUGAUGGAGCGACGCCGCGUGGAGGUUAAGGUCUUCGGAUUGUAAACUCCUGUCAUGCGAGAGCAAAGCCCGCGAGGGUCUGAUAKKAUCGCAAGAGGAAGAGACGGCUAACUCUGUGCCACCAGCCGCGGUAAUACAGAGGUCUCAAGCGUUGUUCGGAAUCCUGGGCGUAAAGGGUGCGUAGGUGGCGUGGAAAGUCAAAUGUGAAAUCCAGAGGCUCUACCCCUGGAUUGCAUCCGAUAUACCGCUAAACAACUAUAGGGAUCAUGGAUUAUCGGUGUAGCAGUGAAAUGCGUAGAUAUCGAGAGGAACACUAGAGGCGAAGGCGAGAUCCUGGUCAAUAUCUGACACUGAGGCACGAAGGCCAGGGGCGCUGGACGGGAUUAGAUACCCCGGUAGUCCUAGCAGUAAACGGUGCACGUUUGGUGUGGGUGKCACCCCUCCUGUGCCGUAGCUAACACGAUAAGCGCCGCCUGGGGAAGUACGGUCGCAUAAUUAAAACUCAAAGAAUUGACCGG
rnacentral:rRNA from 1 species